rnacentral:rRNA from 1 species
AGGGAAUUUAGCAGAGAUGCUUUAGUGCCUUCGGGAACUCUGAGACAGGUGCUGCAUGGCUGUCGUCAGCUCGUGUUGUGAAAUGUUGGGUUAAGUCCCGCAACGAGCGCAACCCUUAUCCUUUGUUGCCAGCACGUAAUGGUGGGAACUCAAAGGAGACUGCCGGUGAUAAACCGGAGGAAGGUGGGGAUGACGUCAAGUCAUCAUGGCCCUUACGAGUAGGGCUACACACGUGCUACAAUGGCGCAUACAAAGAGAAGCGACCUCGCGAGAGCAAGCGGACCUCAUAAAGUGCGUCGUAGUCCGGAUUGGAGUCUGCAACUCGACUCCAUGAAGUCGGAAUCGCUAGUAAUCGUAAAUCAGAAUGUUACGGUGAAUACGUUCCCGGGCCUUGUACACACCGCCCGUCACACCAUGGGAGUGGGUUGCAAAAGAAGUAGAUAGCUUAACCUUCGGGAGGGCGUUUACCACUUUGUGAUUCAUGACUGGGGUGAAGUCGUAACAAGGUAAGCGUAGUGCU